UACGGAGGGGGCUAGCGUUGUUCGGAAUUACUGGGCGUAAAGCGUACGUAGGCGGCUUUGUAAGUUAGAGGUGAAAGCCCGGAGCUCAACUCCGGAAUUGCCUUUAAGACUGCAUCGCUUGAAUCAUGGAGAGGUUAGUGGAAUUCCGAGUGUAGAGGUGAAAUUCGUAGAUAUUCGGAAAGAACACCAGUGGCGAAGGCGACUAACUGGACAUGUAUUGACGCUGAGGUACGAAAGCGUGGGGAGCAAACAGGG
rnacentral:rRNA from 1 species